CAAAAGACUCAUCAGUGACGCUCGACUCAAAAAAUGUAAAAAAUGCCAAAUAAAGUACGAAGUUGAAGAGCAUUGAGGACCAAAAGUUCAAAAGACUCAUCAGUGUUGUAUUACUAAAGAAGUUAAAUCGGCCAAAGUAAUAAUAUAUGGAAGAUACUUUGUAACAAAAUCUUCAUUUCCUACCAGUCUGAUAAAAAUAUGACCACCCAA
rnacentral:lncRNA from 1 species